GGCAACUCCCGGAGACGCGCACCUGGACCCGGGCACAGCAGUCGCCUGCCUGCUGUGCAUGUCAGCGACUCACCACGAUGCGACUGCUGUGGGUCAGAAACAGUGGGGCACUUGGGGGAACGCAGCGGUGCCGCGGACCCGGCCGGCCGAGUUCGAUUCCCGCUCGCGGCCAACGUCGUCUGAGCCGGACCUCCCCUGGGUCGACACGGACGUAAAUGAGUGCCCGGACGCCACCAGGGAGACAAAGGCGGCCCGGCGUGGUGCUGGCCACCCACCCCCUCGUGCGCCGUGAGGUUCACGCGCUGCGCUGUGAACCUGAGUUCGAUUCCUGGCCAUUGCCAACGGAGGGUGGUGACGCGCCCGCGCCUUGCAGCGAGGACUCCCUGGGUUCGAGUCCUGCCCUUCUGGGGUUUUCCCCUCCGUGUUCUCCGGUUUCCUCCCAUAGCGAAACAACAACAACAAAUUCUCCAUACAAUCGAAUUGGUGUUGGCCAAUCACUCUGAUGUAGCGGCACCCUCCUGAAAAGAAAAAUUUAUAUAUAUAAAAAUAAAAAUUUUAAACACGCUUUUUUUUGCAGAAGCUACCUGGCCACCAACGACAGCGCAACGAAGUAGCACAUCGCAUCGAGAUUCAUAGCAGCCAUCCAGCAGGAGGUCCAUCGUCACAUGGUAAACAUGAGUGUGCUGUAGUAAUUGAAGAACUCCACGACUCCAGGAAGUGGCCCCGAAGCUUGCCAUAACGUCAGGGACCGUGGGCAAUUACAGCCAACGUCAGUUGACCGUGGACAAUUAGACCCAAGCCGAAACAUAACAUAUGAAGAAGAAUGUUUAAAAAUAUAUUUUUAUGAUAGAUUAUAGUAUUGUCAUCAGUAUGACACAAGUAUACCAAGUUUACAGUCGAUACCACAUUGGGAAGUGGGUUAAAAUUGAGUUACAAGAUUUGAGGAUGCAUACAACAACAACGACAACAACAACAGACAGUGAGGUAAAUAAACGCGUGUCAUUACUUGUAAUCUCUGAGAGUAAUCGAUAUACUCACGUAACUUUGCAUGGCUGUGCAAAAAAAAUGAGUCGAUGGCUUUCUGUGCGGAUGCUUGAGUGUCGUACCAUCUCCCCCUCGAGUAAUAACAACGUCCAUGUAUUUACCCAGAGCAGCCUCGGUAAGCCUCUAGACCUUCCAUUAAUGAGUGUUUGUCUUCACGUGGGAGGAUAGCGGAGUGCCCGGAGAGAGCCGACGCCGAGAGCCGCGAUGACUGUGGAGACCUCUCCCAGCGGAGAAGACUCAGUCGUGAGGGAGUCAUCGCUGGACAGACCUUCGCAGACCCACGACCGCUCUCAGCGCCUGCCACGCACGUGGCGAGCGCCAGAUUCAAGUUCUAACCGGGCUCAAGCUUGCUUGGGCUUCGGAAAGCCAACGAGAUCGGGUGCAUUUCGCGUGAUUUGGUGGUUUGGACGGACGGCGGAGGGUUGAUCGUCUCUGCUCUACGGAGAGAGACAACCCGCCACGUAGCCCGCUACCCGCGUCGGCUUUCAGAAUUAUGUUUUGCGCCCACGCACGGAAAAGUCUGAACGAAGUUAAAGUGGCGACAUCUGUCAACGUGGGACCUUCCUGAGUAAGAGCCUUGAGACGCAGCGAGAAUGUUUUUUCUUUCUGAAUAAGUAGAUUUAUUCCACCACGGGGAUCAUUACUGUUGUUGUUGUCGCUGGGAGUGCGACGUUCCGCUGGAAAGCCUUCACCGUCGAUGUUUUCCAUCGGCGAUUGCGCGGCACACAGAGAGACCGCCCGGAGCGCCGGGAUGGGAACAGAUGCGUCGCGUCGCGCCAUCGCCAAUGGAAAAUAUCGAUCGGGAAGGCGCAAUGCGUGCGUGUGUGCGUGCGUGCGUGUGUGGCGUGGUGCACGGGGAGCUUACGGACGCCACCGCACCAGCUCAAGUCGGGGUCACAACCCCGGGCCGGGCCUCUCCCGCGGUAUCAAAGUCAAAUCGACGUCAAGCUGAGACGGUGCUGCUCAUCUCUCCCGUUUACCGCCAUGCAGAGCCAGUGGUGGAAAUUCCACGAUCCCAUGGCAGGGGCGAGUCAAUCCACAGUACAACCGUUGUUGACUUUCCCUAAGAGCGGUAUCCAUUUUGUCGAUCCCUGGGGUAGGGAUGAUGAUAGGCCACCGAGUCGGCGUUGGAAAUUCCUCAUUCCCGUGGCGGGGGCGAGUCUCUUCAUGGGACAUUCACUAUUGAUAUUCCUGCAAAGCGGUUCCUAUUUUAUCGACCCCCCACCCCCGGCAGCAGGGAUGAUGAUGAUGGGAUAGGCCGAGCCGCCCGGCCGGGCUUUUCCCGUUAUCCACAAACAUAGCAGAAGUUAUUUGCUUUGUUCACACAAGUACGAGGCAUCUCUGCUCACUAUGGCUAAACAGAAAUGUAUCCAUCUUGACUUGAAGCUUUCGUGACUGCAGGAAUCCAUACACUUUGGUUAUUCCAGUAAGUCACAUAGGUAGAAAUAAAACAAAAUAAAUCACGACGUUUCGAUAGCAACACAAGCCAUCGUCUUCAGGUGAAAAAAUAUAGCGGGAUAUCUGCUGAGGCAGGAUGUUAUAUAGGUUUGAGAUGGGUGUAGCACAAGGGUAAGUGGGCGGGGCUAGAGAUGGAAUUUGCUUGUAAAUGUAAGAUCAGAGAGCUGAUAUACCUCCACGACGACGAAGCUGUGGAGGUGGCCAUUGUAUUGAGAGAUUAGCAUGUCAAUGUAAGAGAACCACCGCAACGGUGGCUGUGUUAGUGAGGCAUUUAGCCUGUUAAUGUGAAGACAUUUAACCUGGUAAUGUAACUAGUAAGUCGGAAAUAACUGCUAACAUCGGCAGGUAGGAUGGAAACAUCACAUUCAGUUAUGACUUAAAAUUAUUUUUCAUCAUUUUUAAAACUGGCAAAAAAAAGUUUAAAUAAAUAAAUGCCUAAACGUUAGGCUAGUGGAACAAAGGAGACAGAACGAACGAGAUGCAGCAGAGCAGACAAGACAAUGCUAAUGAGAGUAAAGGGAAUUGCU